GACAGAGGUGGCAAGCGUUGUUCGGAUUCACUGGGCUUAAAGGGUGCGUAGGCGGCCAGGUACGUCUGGUGUGAAAUCCCCCGGCCCAACCGGGGAACUGCGCCGGAAACCGCUUGGCUCGAGGGCAGUAGAGGGGGGUGGAACUCCUGGUGUAGCGGUGAAAUGCGUAGAUAUCAGGAGGAACGCCGGAGGCGAAAGCGACCCCCUGGUCUGUCCCUGACGCUGUGGCACGAAAGCUAGGGGAG
rnacentral:rRNA from 1 species